AGUUCGGGUUGGUGAGGGCAAAGCACCAUAGCCAUAGAUUCCAUGAAGCCCCUUCCUCUCCUGCUCUCUCUCCAAGCCCUAGACCCAACCAUGGCGGGCAUCUCCUCUCAAUGCCUCACCACCACUACAUCUGUGGCGCUACUCACAGAGCCACCCUCAAAUCACCGAAGCCAUCCUCCUUAGACACUGUCUUGGUCGCGGUUGACUCUGAUUCCGGGUUUUGAGGCUUCAACCUGGACAAAAAUAUUGUCUACUUGGAUGGCUUUCCAAGGAGGUUGGAUGGAACCACUAUGAUACCAUCAAGGAGAAUUCAUUGUUAAAGAUCGAGAGGGUUGAAGAUAAAGAGGAUACAUGGAGCUUUUUUUACUUUGAGUAAUCAAACCAAAAAUUAUUUUGCAGUAAAAGUAGACAAAUAGUGUAAAACUCUUUACAUUUUGUUAUUAAUCAGAAUACAUUACACUUGAGCUCAUUACUUGUCAAUAAAAGUCAAUGAAAUUAA